rnacentral:lncRNA from 1 species
CACAGGCAGGAAGAGAUGAUAAGUGGGUAAAAAGGAACCAACAUUGACAAGUUGGGAGGCACCAUGGUUAUUUCUGACUAGCUUAUAAUUUUCCAGCUCACAUUCUCUCAAGGUGAGAGGCAUGCCUCCUCUUCAAAUCUGAAUCCCGAUACUAAUGUGACUGCAGUGAGUCCAACAGCCAGCACUUUUGAGACUGCUCCUUUGACUAGGAAGACUUUCCAAGUCAAAUCUGAGGCUUCGGCUAAUGCAGAGAGGCGAAGGUCAGAGAAGAACAGCAAUGGAAAACAGCUUUUGGGUUUGAGGAGGGCUUCUCUUUCCAAUUUGCUUUGAUGAUGGCAGUAUUUUGGUGAGAGAAAUGCAACCAAGUGAUAAUGCUUUAAAAAAUAAAUACACUGUAAUUUGUGAAAUAGGCUCAUGGUCAUUGAUUUCCCCUAAGGAGGGGAGAAAAGGAAAAACAUGUGACUUUGUUGUACUAUAAUUUCUUGAAUGAUGUCAUAUAAUAAAUAUAACAC